GUUUUAAUAAUUUAAAUAAAAUAUUGGUCUUGUAAACCAAAAAUAAGAUUAUCUUUUAAAACU
rnacentral:tRNA from 1 species